CCGGAAUCGCUAGUAAUCGUGGAUCAGCAUGCCACGGUGAAUACGUUCCCGGGCCUUGUACACACCGCCCGUCACACCACGAGAGUUUGUAACACCCGAAGUCGGUAGGGUAACCUUUAUGGAGCCAGCCGCCGAAGGUGGGACAGAUAAUUGGGGUGAAGUCGUAACAAGGUAGCCGUAUCGGAAGGUGCGGCUGGAUCACCUCCUUUCUAAGGAA
rnacentral:rRNA from 1 species